rnacentral:lncRNA from 1 species
CUUCGGUACACGCUGCGUCUGCCUCGGCGAGGGCAGGACUGCAAAGCGCCGGGCCUUGGGUCUUGGCCUCCAUCGGAUGAACGAUUUCCCGUCGAAGCCAGCUGUACGGGGAGGCUAACGGCAGCGCACCAGCUCUGCAGCGAAGGCGGGGAGGAGCCUCGAAGCCGGAGAGGAGAGCGCUGUGCCCUUUCCCGGUGCCUAUCAGUGCACGCCACACACCGGCGUCUGUUCCAGCUUGCCCAGAAGUCUGCUAGGCUGCAGCAAGUCAGCACUCGCGCGUGGCUGAUAGGGCAGGCUGGUUUCCAAGGAGAGAUGUCACACCACAAAAUCUCCCCCUGUGUCCUGCCACACUUGGUACUGAUUUGACUGUCUCUGUGGAGAAGGCAAGGAUCAAAUGCUCCAUGGCGCCAGACUGCUUGCUUUCGCAGCCUGCAGGUAA